GACGAACGCUGGCGGCGUGCCUAAUACAUGCAAGUUGAGCGAUGAAGGUUGGUACUUGUUCCAACUGGAUGAGCAGCGAACGGGUGAGUAACGCGUGGGGAAUCUGCCUUUGAGCGGGGGACAACAUUUGGAAACGAAUGCUAAUACCGCAUAAAAACUUUAAACACAAGUUUUAAGAUUGAAAGAUGCAAUUGCAUCACCCAAAGAUGAUACCGCGUUGUAUUAGCUAGUUGGUGAGGUAAAGGCUCACCAAGGCGAUGAUACAUAGCCGACCUGAGAGGGUGAUCGGCCACAUUUGGACUGAGACACGGCCCAAACUCCUUCGGGAGGCAGCAGUAGGGAAUCUUCGGCCAUGGACGAAAGUCUUACCGAGCAACGCCGCGUGAGUGAAGAAGGUUUUCGGAUCGUAAAACUCUGUUGGUAGAGAAGAACGUUGGUGAGAGUGGAAAGCUCAUCAAGUGACGGUAACUACCCAGAAAGGGACGGCUAACUACGUG
rnacentral:rRNA from 1 species